UCAAAUAGUAUGUUGACGUAUUCUGGAAGGGAUACUUCUUCGGACAAUAUACAAGGUGCUGCAUGGUUGUCGUCAGCUCGUGCCGUGAGGUGUCGGGUUAAGUCCCAUAACGAGCGCAACCCUAUCAUUAGUUGCCAUCAGGUCAAGCUGGGGACUCUAAUGAAACUGCCUACGCAAGUAGUGAGGAAGGUGGGGAUGACGUCAAAUCAGCACGGCCCUUACGUCCAGGGCUACACACGUGCUACAAUGGCCGGUACAAAGGGCAGCUACCUGGUGACAGGAUGCUAAUCUCAAAAGCCGGUCUCAGUUCGGAUCGGAGUCUGCAACCCGACUCCGUGAAGCUGGAAUCGCUAGUAAUCGUGAAUCAGAAUGUCACGGUGAAUACGUUCCCGGGCCUU
rnacentral:rRNA from 1 species